rnacentral:lncRNA from 1 species
AGAUAAUCUUGAAAAACCACGAAACGAAGCUGCAAGAAUUGUAACUGGUACAACGCGUUCAGUAUCGUUAGAAAAUCUCUAUAAGGAAAUAGGAUGGAUAUCUCUGUCCGAAAGACGGAUAUAUCAAAAAUUAAUAAUAAUGUAUAAAAUAAAACAUAAUAUGGUCCCAGAAUACUUAAGUAAUUUAUUUCCUAAUGUAGUCGGUGACAAUAACAAAUAAUGAAGAUUAUGUAAUCUUAAGAAGACGUACCGAAAUAUUUUCUAGUUCAUUUAUUCCAUCUUCUAUCUCAUUGUGGAAUGAAUUACCCAUUGAAACAAAACAACUAGAAGGCCUAUCAGCUUUCAAAAAGUUAUUAUUGACCACACGGUUUAAAGCGCCAGAAGUACCGGAGAUAUAUUCCUUUGGAGAACGAAAGUAUUCAAUUUUUCACUCUCGACUAAGAAAAAAUGCAGCAACUUGUGUUUUGAUCUUUUUAAUAAUCAUUUAGCUACCGAUUUUAGUUGUAGUUGUGGAUAUCAUAUUGAAGAUUGUGAGCACUAUCUUUUUCAGUGUCCUGACUUUGUAAAUCAAAGAAUAGUUAUGUUCCAGUCAACCAAGGACUGUCACCCUUUAAGUACAGAUACAUUACUUUUUGGAAACCCUUCUUUAUCAGUAAACGAUAAUAUUAAUAUUUUCAGAAGUGUUCAAAAAUUUAUUAAAGAUACAAAGCGAUUUGAGAAUUAAAUACUACAGUGACUUUUUGUGUCCAAAUUCAUCUAGAUUUAGUUUUGCAACAACAAGACCAACAAUAAAACUCUACAAAGCAAAAACUAAAAUAUUAGUAUCAAGCGAAAUAUAAACAUUAUGUUGUACGUGAUCUAACUAGAUUUCCUAUUACUAUUUCUCUAUUCUUUUAACUUCAAUUAUAUAAAAUUUUGCAUAGCUUUAUGAAUACACAUUUUGAAGCCGAAUCUCAUGUAAGUGAAAUUUGUUAAGGGGAGGGUAUGUAAUAAUGUUGAUAGAACUUAUUACCCAACCCUUUUGCAUAUAAUAUUGUUAAGUUUUGUACUUGAGAUGUAGAUAUUAUGUAUAUUAUAUGCAAUAAAAUAUGUUUAAACUAUGGAAACAGUCAAAUUAGUAUUGUGCAAGGUUUUUUUUUUAAAUGGGAACAUGUUUAAGUCUCAUUUAGUUGACCGUGACAACAACCUGGCAUCCAUGAAAAAUUGUUCUUAGGGCUUACAGGUCAGCCAUCAAAAUUCAAUAUGCCAAGCCACGUUAGGCAAGUAACCCAAAAUUAAUUCAUUUUAAGAUCAACUACUAGUAUUAAUGUUACACUUAUCCUUGAAAUGAAAAUGGCUAGGCCCGAAAGUCUUUGUUUGAAGUUUUAAAGUUCUAUACAGAUUCUGAGUUUCUAUUAAUUGUCAAAGUAUCAUAAGUGGUGUUGUCACGAAAACAAACGUUUUAAAAUUACUUUGUUAGCUUUAAUGGCAAGUGAAACAUUUAACGUUUAACAGAAUUAUGUUUUUAUUUUUUUGCAGUUUUCCAGGUUGCCAUGAUGACAUAGAUGGCAGUCCAUACAUACACAACAUUGACGGAGGUCAGAUUUGGAGCAUAUACGACAUAAGAAGAUGACAGACUUCCAAGAUGACCGAUCUACAAAGUUAUACAGCAGGUUUGGAGCAUAUAGGGGUUACCAUGGAAACGUAUCUCUACAUCUAGGGAAUGGUAUAAAUGGAUGACUGGCGUUCAGAUGGUUACCAUGGAAACGUAUUUUUACAUCUAGGCAAUGGUAUAAAUGGAUGACCGGCGUUCAGAUGUACAAAGGUCUAGAGCAGAUCACCCUGGAAAUGUACCUCUACAUCUAGGCAACGAUAUAAACGGAUGAGCGAUGGUCAAAUGUACCAAGAUUUUGGAUCAUACAGGGUGUGUAUGUUUACCUUUUCUUUCUUAUGGCAACACAUUGAUAUAUUUGUUUCUGUUUUUACACAUAUCUUUCUGUAUCUACAUACUCAACAGGGUUACCAUGGAAACGUACCUCUACAUCUAGGCAACGAUAUAAACGGAUGAGCGACGGUCAAAUGUACCAAGAUUCUGGAUCAUAUAGGGUGUGUAUGUUUACCUUUUCUUUCUUAUGGCAACACCUUGAUAUAUUUGUUUCUGUUUUUUACACAUAUCUUUCUGUAUCUACAUACUCAACAGGGUUACCAUGGAAAUGUACCUCUACAUCUAGGCAACGGUAUAAACGGACGAGCGACGGUCAAAUGUACAAAGUUAUAGAGCAGAUUUUGGAUCAUAUAGGAUUGUUCCAAAAUAGUGGCUGAUGUUGACUACAAACAGGUGUGAAGAUAUCAUGUUGGUUAAUUGGGUGAUGCAGCAAUGGCGGCUGUUGUUGACUAUACAAGCACGUGCAAGGAUGUCAUGCUGUAGAUUUCACAACGGUUUAGUGAACGGUGCAGCUAGGUCCUUUGUCUCGGGCGCAAUGAGGAAUGGGCAUACAGUUUCUGGCUUUGGUGAAAGUAAACCUUAAAGUAUCCGGGACGAGAAACUUAGAACUAUUCGAUGAGAAAUUCAAACCAUUCGACGAGGAACCCGAACUAUCCAACGAGAAGCAGUUUCUUGGACCAUACACGAGGAAAAUUUAAGUUGAUGGAACAACAGUUGCGGUAGGGCUGUCUUGCCGGUACCAUAAAGAUGCAGAUAACCAGAGGUGCACUGGUUCCCUAUCGAGACGCGCUGAUACCCUAUCGAUGCCGGUCAUCAGAGGUGCGCUGGUUCCCUUUAUGUCAGCAUUAUAGUAAUCAACUAUUUUCAACAAGGUUUAAAAAGGCAAGAAGACAGUGUUUGAAAUCAUUUAAAGACAUAGAAAAAGAAUCGAUUGCAGAAAACCAAAAUAGCUUUAUGCCGUCCUGUGUUCUGAUGUUUCCGACAGCCGACAGACCAAUGCAUGCCGG